AAAAAUGCAAACCCCCCCCAUGUCGUCCACUACGAUGAACCCCCAGCGGCCUGCCCGCCG
rnacentral:tRNA from 1 species